GGAAGAGAAGUGGAGAAAUACCAACUUUAUCGUUUUCAAACGAGACAUUCCAAUUGCAUCUUGAAUUCCUCCUCCUCCCUCCUCUUCAGUGGUUUCCUAUCGACCUAUGAGCUCUGCAGGAUCCGCCUCUGUUGACUCUCUGGUCUUUUGGCCUUGCCCACAGCACGUGGAUAUUCCCAGGCCAGGGACUGACCCAUGAUACAGCAGUGAAAACCAGAUCUUUAACCGCUAGCCCACCAGGGAACUCCUCUGGCCUCGUUUUCAGUGUGUACAUUGAUCGCUUCUGUUUCAUUUGUUUGGAAGCCCAAGAUCUUUCCUGCCUGGGAGCUUUUACUCAUCCUUCUCCCCCUUCCCUCUGCUCUUUACCCAGCUGACUCCUACAAAUCCCCCAGAUCUCAGCUGGAAAAAAAUCACCUCCCCAAGAAGAUCCCCUGACUCCCCACAACCCUGUCAAAUGCUCCAGGGCUCUGCACCUUCCCUCCUGGUUCGCAGAGUCAGACACAUCGUGAUCUUUGUUCCCAUGUCGCUCUAAUUCCAUCCAAGCAAUGACACUGGACACUUCGGUAGCCCACAAGGCUUUGUUCACAAUUUCUAUGUGGCCUUUUGAAAUCCUGACAAUAGAACCAGGGUGCCCAGGGCAAGGGUACCCAGAAUUCCCAGAUUAUGGCAGGAUGGAAGGAGGGUCUUAGUGAGGAAAUGCCAGGUGCCUCCCCGGGGGAGUUUAAUCCAAGGGAGAGGACAGAAGAUUCUGCAGGGUUGUUUCCUGGUAUUGUUUGGGCAAAACCAUGGGCGUUGGCCAAUGGCAGGAUGGGGCGCUGGUCCAUGGAGCUCUCUGGAGGGACCAGGGCUAAGCUGCUUUCCUGAGACAGACUCGGUUGUUCUUUUCAUCGUGUUUUGCUUGCACAAAUGACAUUUAAACAGCACUAAAGACAAUGUUUAAAAAGAAAGAGAAGUCACUGGACCCCAUCCAUCUUACACAUCUGAUGUGCUGGAAAGAGGCCUGGGCUUGGAGUCCAGCAUCCCAGGCUUGGCAGCCCUCUUCGCUAGUUCCUGGCUGUGCCGCCUUGGGCAGUCUGUCGCCCCUCUGCCUUAGCUGCCUAAUCUAUAAGGGGGAGCAACUCCUACCUCAUGGGGAAUUAGGGACAGUCAGGGAAUUAAGUGAGACCAGGUAUGUGAAAGCCCUUGGCAUAGUGUCUGGUGCAUGGCAGGUACUCAGAAAAGUUUUUCUUUUUUAUCAAGGCAACUGUUUUCAUUUUCUUGAAAAUUUCAGCCAACUUCUGCCAAGCUUUCAUCAAGUCCAGAUGAACAUUUUGCACUUGUGACCAUGCUUGAAAUUUAAUUUAUUUUGCAGUCUGCUUGUAAACUUGCUGUGUCCUAAGCACUUGUUUCAACAUUUUCAUGAUUAUUUCAUGGUGGAACACCAUGCCACUGAAUCAAUGCAUCAUUAUUUAUGGAACCAUUCUUCUGCUAUUGGACAUUUUUCAGUGUUAUAAAUAAUUCUGUAGAGAAUUCUGUAUUCUAUAGGAUUGUUGCUUUCAUCGGUAUCCCAUCUUUAUUUCUCUUGCUAAAGGUUGAAUAUUCUUCUAUGUUUACUUGUUCUUCUUUCCUCACCUGAGCUGCCUGCUCAUGACCUUUGCCCAGAUUUUUCUUAGUAACACAUAUAUUUUUUAUUGCUGUGCAUGAAAACUUUCCAUCAUGUGGACACUAACCAUUUGUCAUUUUCCCCACUCUCUGGGGACAUUUUAAUUUUAGCUGUUUUCUAAUAGACACGUUUUAAGCAUUUUAUUUUCAGACUUUGCCUUUGUGAUUUCUUGAUUGUGUUCAUGGUGUAUGUAACAAACACCACGUGUGAAACCGGCCCCUGGAGCGGUAUGGGGCGGAAGCAGAGGACACUCCGGUGCCUGAUUUCCAGAAGGUCUCAAUCAAGUUGAGGAUCCAGACAUGAAAACAAUCACAGAAGUGCUAGAAUAGUAAGUGUUGUACGGGCAGUGGUUUGAGCUCUUGCUCAAACCCAUUCUAAGAAUUUGCAUCUACUAUCUCAUGUAAGCCACACAAGAAUGCUGUGACUUAAAUACUUUUUUUUUUUUUAAUGGCAACAUAUGAAAUUCCCUGGCCAGGAAUGGGGCUGGAGCCUCAGAUGCAACCUAUGCCAGAACUGUGGCAAUGCUGGAUCCUUAACCCAUUGCACCAGGCUGGGGAUCAAGCCCAUGCCAUCAGAGAGACAAAUCCAGAUCCUUAACCUGCUGUGCUACAGGGGGAACUCCUCAAAUACUAUUAUUAUCCUCAUUUUAUAGAUGAAAAGAAUGACCCUCAGAAUGAUUGUAAAACUUAGCAAGCACCAAUAGUGAAGAAUAGAGGCCAGUAUUUGAAAAUCAGCUAGUCAGGCUGUAGAGCUUACCUUCUUUUUUUUGGGGGGGGUGGCCCAGGCCAGGGAUCAAACCUGAGCCACUGUGGUGUCAACACUGGCUCCUUAAUUGCUAGGCCACCAGGGAAUUCCAGAGUUUGCCACCUUCUUUAUUUUUUAUUUUUUAAUUAAAAAAAUUUUUUUGUAGAUCUGCAGCCACAGUAUAUGGAAGUUCCCAGGCUAGGAGUCAAAUUAGAGCUGCAUCUACUGGCCUACACCCCAGCCACAGCAAUGCCAGAUCUGAGCUGCAUCUUCAACCUACACGGCAGCUCAUGGCAACACCAGAUCUUAACCCAGUGAGCGAGGCCAGGAUUGAACCUGCAUCUUCACAGAUGCUAUGUCAGGUUCUUAACUCACUGAGCCACAGUGGGAACUCUGGGGCUCUUGAUCUCUUGCCUUGAGGGAUGCAAGGUGGUGGGGUUAUAUAAUUUCAUUAACAUUAUUGUCAUACAAUUCUGUAUCCAUCUCACAGUCAGAAAUAAGCAAGGGGCCAUAGCCUGACCAGACCUGUCCCUGGAAGGGAAGAAGGGGAGAAACAACACAGAGUGUGUGACCUGGAGGAUUUGAGUCAUUGGAGUCCCUCAGGUCUGUGUCUUUUGAAAGAAGGCGGACACAGUGCCCCCGGAAGCCAGGUGUAUGCCCUUGACUUCACCAUUAAGAUGACUGCUGAGGGGAAAAUGGGGCCUUCUGCCUACAAUUCAGGAUCUGCUUUAGUUAUAUCAGUGUCUUAUUCAGAGAGAUAGGACAACUCGCCCAGAGCACAGAUGGCAGAAGAAGUUGAUUGCACAGAAGUGUCCUAUCCACUGGCAGGGCCAGCCUGUUAGCAGCAAAAGACACAAGGUGUUUUUCUCUUGGAUGCAUUUCUUUGCAUUUUCCAAGGCUGGUGGAUCAAUAGCUACACACAGCUCAAAUAAAUUUUUGUUUUGAUUCCUUACCACUCUCAGGAGGGAAGAUGCACCAUUAGAUAACUCGGGUUCCUACCAGGUGCUGCUGCUGUCAGCAACAGCUGUCCAUGGCCUCUUUAGACCCUCAUGACAGCCUCACAAGGUCAGAACUACUAUGCCUAUUUCAGAGAUAUGGAAACUGAGGCUCAGAAAAGGGAUGGGGAAUGUCCUUACCCGGAGUCCUAGAGCUGGUCACUGGCCUGAAGGCCUCUGGGCAUAUAAGCUGUUCGUUAUUGCAAACUAUGUUAUUACCAUGGUCAGUGUCCUGGGCUAAGAGAAAUAAUGAGCCUCAGAGAGGGAAAGUUGCCAUCCCAAGGUCACAGAGCCCGUGAAAGGCAGGGCUGGAGUUAGACUGCAGAGCCUCUGCUAGGACAGCUCGUCCGCCUGGGCUGGUCCACCCGCCGCAUGCCUGCCCCGGAAAGAAUGGAGAAAGGCUGGAGGCAUGGGGAUUUGUGUUUCUCUAAGCAGCCCCUGGAGGGAGAAGCAGGAUCCUUCCUGGUCCAAGGUAUCAAGGGCAUCAAUUCCUGGCUCCGGAAGGGUCUCCUCUCCAAGGCUGCAAUUCUAUUUUUAGCCUUGAAUCCAUCAAUGGAUUGAUGGCAGGGCAGGCAACUCCUGGCUGCUUGAUAUUAAUAAGAAGAGAGAAAAGACCAUUUAUGAAGCAUUUUCUGUGUGCUGGGCUUUAUGCAAAAUGCUUCACAUGGAUUAUCCACUGACAUCUUUACAACAUUCCUAUGAAAUGAGUACCAUUAGCAUCAUCGGUUUAUGAGUAGAGAAAAGAGGCUCGAGGAGGUUAGAGAAUUCCCUUAAGGCCACAUGACUGAUAAGCUGCAGACCCAGGGUCCCGAUGUAGAUCGUAGGCAGGUUGGCGAGACUUAAGAUAAGAAAGACAGCCUGGAAGAGCAUUAUGGGCAGAGGGAACAGGACUGGCAAAGGCAAGGAGGUGCGAAGGACAGGUCUGUUUGCGGAACAGUCAACAGCCUGGUGGGAUCUGGGUUGAGAAGGAAAAGGAGCCCAGAGCAUAGAGCGGGGCAAGAUUCUAUAAGAUCUUGAAUCUCAGGGGGGUUCUGACUUUGGGAUUCUGGAAGGACUGAGGGUGAGAGUGGCAUUGUUGUGUCUGAGCUUUAGAGCAGAGGAUGGAUUUGAGGGAGAGACUGGGAAGAGGGAGACAAAGGACUAUUUCCACUACUAACAGCGAUGAUAGCUUCCAUUUAUUGAGCAUCUACUAUGUGGGUUAGGCGUAGGAGGUGCAUUUUGUAAGUGACCACCUCAUACAGGUAGCAGGUACUCAUUCGAUGGUAGCUGUGUGGAGGGUAUUGUUGUCUCUUUUCCACAGAUGAGAAAACAGAGGUCAAGUGAUGGCCCAGGGCCACUAGGAUUGGAAUCCAGUUCGGGUUGAUUCCAAAGACCCUGAUGCUACCUUGACCAGAUGGGAUGGUGGGUAAUAAAAAUAGUUUCAGGCAAAAGGACAUUUGUCUGAAGCCCAGGAAUGAAGAAGAUAAGGUAGGUUGCAAAGAUGGUGGAGAGAGAAUUUUUAUUUGUUUUUUUAACUUUUAUUUUUUGCCUUUUUAGGGCAGCACCUGAGAUAUAUGGAGGUUCCUAGGCUAAGGGUUGAAUCAGAGCUGUAGCUGCCAGCCUACACCACAGCCACAGCAACCCCAGAUCUGAGUCGCAUAUGCAACCUACGCUGAAACUUGCGGCAACACCAGAUCCUUAACCCAUGGAGCGAGGCCAGGAAUCAAACCCGCAUCCUCAUGGAUACUAGUUUGGUUCUUAACCCACUGAGCCACAACGGGAACUCCCUUGUUUUGUUCUUUAAAUAAGUUUAUUCACACACACGGAGGAUAGUAGUCAUGUCACUAUGGUUACAAAGCUUUUCUGGAGCCGGAACUGGCAAGCAGACUCAGCUGGGGAAAAGGGCAUUGUUUCUGCAGGGCAGUGGCUGGGGAGGGAGGAAAGAGGAAAAGGCAGGGUACAAAGUUCAGUGUGUCCAGCACUCUGAGACACGGUCAGGGGCACAGCCAGGGCGAGGGGUAGGGAGGCCCAGGAGCGAGUGGCCAGAGUGAGUGAAAGAAGGGGUCAGUCUGAGUCUCAGCUGCAUCUGAUAUCUGGCAGCAAAAGUUCCCAGUAGGAAGACUGAAAUAUACCCGCUCCCUGACACACACACCAUAAUGAGGGUAUGUCAAAAUGUCAAAGGAACACAGGAGGCAAUUGAAAGAACUCCCAGUGGCCAAAGCUGGAACAGUUUCAGCAACAAAAUAAAG
rnacentral:lncRNA from 1 species